GAUGAACGCUGGCGGCGUGCCUAAUACAUGCAAGUCGAGCGAACGGACGAGAAGCUUGCUUCUCUUAUGUUAGCGGCGGACGGGUGAGUAACACGUGGAUAACCUACCUAUAAGACUGGGAUAACUUCGGGAAACCGUAGCUAAUACCGGAUAAUAUUUUGAACCGCAUGGUUCAAAAGUGAAAGACGGUCUUGCUGUCACUUAUAGAUGGAUCCGCGCUGCAUUAGCUAGUUGGUAAGGUAACGGCUUACCAAGGCAACGAUGCAUAGCCGACCUGAGAGGGUGAUCGGCCACACUGGAACUGAGACACGGUCCAGACCCCUACGGGAGGCAGCAGUAGGGAAUCUUCCGCAAUGGGCGAAAGCCUGACGGAGCAACGCCGCGUGAGUGAUGAAGGUCUUCGGAUCGUAAAACUCUGUUAUUAGGGAAGAACAUAUGUGUAAGUAACUGUGCACAUCUUGACGGUACCUAAUCAGAAAGCCACGGCUAACUACGU
rnacentral:rRNA from 1 species